rnacentral:rRNA from 1 species
GUGGGGAAUCUUGCGCAAUGGGCGAAAGCCUGACGCAGCCAUGCCGCGUGAAUGAUGAAGGUCUUAGGAUUGUAAAAUUCUUUCACCGGGGACGAUAAUGACGGUACCCGGAGAAGAAGCCCCGGCUAACUUCGUGCCAGCAGCCGCGGUAAUACGAAGGGGGCUAGCGUUGCUCGGAAUUACUGGGCGUAAAGGGCGCGUAGGCAGACAGUUUAGUCAGAGGUGAAAGCCCAGGGCUCAACCUUGGAAUUGCCUUUGAUACUGGCUGUCUUGAGUACGGGAGAGGUGAGUGGAACUCCGAGUGUAGAGGUGAAAUUCGUAGAUAUUCGGAAGAACACCAGUGGCGAAGGCGACUCACUGGCCCGUUACUGACGCUGAGGCGCGAAAGCGUGGGGAGCAAACAGGAUUAGAAACCCGAGUGUCC